rnacentral:rRNA from 1 species
UACGUAGGGUGCGAGCGUUGUCCGGAAUUACUGGGCGUAAAGAGCUCGUAGGUGGUUUGUCGCGUUGUUCGUGAAAACUCACAGCUCAACUGUGGGCGUGCGGGCGAUACGGGCUGGCUGGAGGCAGGCAGGGGAGAACGGAAUUCCCGGUGUAGCGGUGAAAUGCGCAGAUAUCGGGAGGAACACCGGUGGCGAAGGCGGUUCUCUGGGCCUGUACUGACGCUGAGGAGCGAAAGCGUGGGGAGCGAACAGG